rnacentral:tRNA from 1 species
GCGGGAGUAGUUCAAUUUUUAGAACACGUUCCUUCCCGAAACGAGAUAUAGGUGUAAGUCCUAUCUUCCGCUCCA